rfam:Nicotiana sylvestris Nsyl_contig145532, whole genome shotgun sequence.
UGGACAAAUUAUUGUAUUCGACUGUAUUCACGGGUGAAACAGGGGAUUAUACUGCUUUUAAACGGAAAGUGAAUCAAUUAACAUAAUAGACUCCU